AUUGAACGCUGGCGGCAGGCCUAACACAUGCAAGUCGAACGAGUGGCGGACGGGUGAGUAAUGUCUGGGAAACUGCCCGAUGGAGGGGGAUAACUACUGGAAACGGUAGCUAAUACCGCAUACCAUCGGAUGUGCCCAGAUGGGAUUAGCUAGUAGGUGGGGUAACGGCUCACCUAGGCGACGAUCCCUAGCUGGUCUGAGAGGAUGACCAGCAACACUGGAACUGAGACACGGUCCAGACUCCUACGGGAGGCAGCAGUGGGGAAUAUUGCACAAUGGGCGCAAGCCUGAUCCAGCCAUGCCGCGUGGAUGAAGAAGGUCUUCGGAUUGUAAAGCACUUUCAGCUAGGAGGCGUUACUAGCAGAAUAAGCACCGGCUAACUUCGUGCCAGCAGCCGCGGUAAUAC
rnacentral:rRNA from 1 species